UACGUAGGUGGCAAGCGUUGUCCGGAUUUACUGGGCGUAAAGAGCGUGUAGGCGGCCAAGCAGGUCCGUUGUGAAAACUCGAGGCUCAACCUCGAGACGCCGAUGGAAACCAUCUGGCUAGAGUCCGGAAGAGGAGAGUGGAAUUCCCGGUGUAGCGGUGAAAUGCGCAGAUAUCGGGAAGAACACCCGUGGCUAAGGCGGCUCUCUAGUACGGUACUGACGCUGAGACGCGAAAGCGUGGGGAGCGAACAGG
rnacentral:rRNA from 1 species